AUUGAACGCUGGCGGCAUGCCUUACACAUGCAAGUCGAACGGUAACAGGUCUUCGGAUGCUGACGAGUGGCGAACGGGUGAGUAAUGCAUCGGAACGUGCCCAGUAGUGGGGGGUAGCCCGGCGAAAGCCGGAUCAAUACCGCAUACGACCUGAGGGUGAAAGGGGGGGAUCGCAAGACCUCUCGCUAUUGGAGCGGCCGAUGUCAGAUUAGCUAGUUGGUGGGGUAAAGGCCUACCAAGGAAACGAUCUGUAGUUGGUCUGAGAGGACGACCAGCCACACUUGGACUGAGAGACGGCCCAGACUCCUACGGGAGGCAGCAGUGGGGAAUUUUGGACAAUGGGCGCAAGCCUGAUCCAGCAAUGCCGCGUGCAGGAAGAAGGCCUUCGGGUUGUAAACUGCUUUUGUCAGGGAAGAAAUCUUCUGGGUUAAUACCUCGGGAGGAUGACGGUACCUGAAGAAUAAGCACCGGCUAACUACGUGCCAGCAGCCGCAGUAAGAC
rnacentral:rRNA from 1 species